rnacentral:sRNA from 2 species
UUUCCGUAGGUGAACCUGCGGAAGGAUCAUUGUCGAGACCGAAAUAUAAAUCGAGUGAUUUAGAGAACACGUGAAUCGAGUGAUGGCUGCUGCCGUCGCGGGAUGACCGGCUUGGCCGUCACCGCCGCCUCCUCUACGGGGAGAGCGGGGGUACGACCGUGGACGGAUAAUAACACAAAUCGGCGCAGCAUUGCGCCAAGGAAAAAUUGGAAGGGACGAGCUCGGUGAAGGGCUCGGUGGCGUGGGGUGUUGCGGCACACCACGCGGUUGGACAUGACUCUCGGCAAUGGAUAUCUCGGCUCUCGCAUCGAUGAAGAGCGCAGCGAAAUGCGAUACGUGGUGCGAAUUGCAGAAUCCCGCGAACCAUCGAGUCUUUGAACGCAAGUUGCGCCCGAGGCCAGCAGGCCAAGGGCACGUCCGCCUGGGCGUCAAGCAUUGCGUCGCUCCGUGCCAGCUCUGACACUACUUUUUGUGUGUUGUCCGAGGCUCGGAAGUGUAGAGUGGCUCAUCGUGCUUAUCGGUGCGGCGAGCUGAAGAUAGCGUGACAUCUCGUUGGCCGCGAACAACAAGGGGUGGGUGAAAGCUGUGAGCGCAGCCUGCGUUGUCUCGUGUUGGCUCAAGAGAUGGAUUGUGCCUUCAAGGUGAUCCCGACCCAUGCGUCGAUCCAUAUGCGGGCGGCGGCUUGGAAUGCGACCCCAGGAUGGGCGAGGCCACCCGCUGAGUUUAA